rnacentral:misc_RNA from 1 species
AAGUCGUAACAAGGUAACCGUAGGUGAACCUGCGGUUGGAUCAUUAAAAAAUCCAAGGCGAGAGCUACUUCGGUAGUGUCUCUGCCUAAACUGGCCUCCGGGCCUCAAACCUCUUGUGAACUGUUUAUUGACUCUGGUUAGUUACUUUCGAGUGCUAGCCGGCCAAUUAUUUUAAACCUAUAUUUUUUGUCUUAUACAAAGAUGUAAAUCUUAACAACUUUUGACAAUGGAUCUCUAGGCUCUC